UCGAGCGGCAGCAGCUCCUUCGGGAGGCUGGCGAGCGGCGGACGGGUGAGUAAUGCAUGGGAACUUACCCAGUAGUGGGGGAUAGCCCGGGGAAACCCGGAUUAAUACCGCAUACGCCCUGAGGGGGAAAGCGGGCUCCGGCUCGCGCUAUUGGAUGGGCCCAUGUCGGAUUAGUUAGUUGGUGGGGUAACGGCCUACCAAGGCGACGAUCCGUAGCUGGUCUGAGAGGAUGAUCAGCCACACCGGGACUGAGACACGGCCCGGACUCCUACGGGAGGCAGCAGUGGGGAAUAUUGGACAAUGGGGGCAACCCUGAUCCAGCCAUGCCGCGUGUGUGAAGAAGGCCUUCGGGUUGUAAAGCACUUUCAGCAGGGAGGAAAAGCUGGCGGUUAAUACCCGUUAGUGUUGACGUUACCUGCAGAAGAAGCACCGGCUAACUCCGUGCCAGCAGCCGCGGUAAUACGGAGGGUGCAAGCGUUAAUCGGAAUUACUGGGCGUAAAGGGCGCGUAGGCGGUUUGGUAAGCGAGUUGUGAAAGCCCCGGGCUCAACCUGGGAAUGGCAAUUC
rnacentral:rRNA from 1 species